AGUUGUGAGGAGUCUCGCUACACUAUAUGUUCUUGGUUAUGCAUUCUGAUUGGUUGAUUUUUUUUUAAUCCACAUUGUUUAACUGUUUUUGCUUCUGGGAGGUUCAGUAAAGAAGGAUAAAGCAAAUAGUUGCCGCCUAUCUUUCAUGAAAUGUAAAAUAUUUAGUCACUAAGCUAGAAUAAUCCCUAAAUGGUGCCCACGUGCAGGCGCGCACCAGCUCGUGCAUGCACCCUCACCAUUGCUAACAGAAGAAGGCUGCAAACCGCCCUGGCUGUUUGACAGUUGGAGGGGUUCUUAGUUAAUUUAUAA